rnacentral:rRNA from 1 species
UUCCAAUANCGAUAUAUNAAAGUUGUAUGCAGUUGAACNANCAUACNUAGCUUGAAUUUUCGGGGUUUNGGUAGGUGUGGUGCAUGCCUCUGGNAUGUACUGGNCUCANUGAUUCCUCCUUCCUGAUGAACCGGNGUGCCAUUANUUUGGUUGUUNCGGGUAAUUUGGGCUGUUACUUUGAAAAAAUUAAANUGUUUAAAGGAAGCUAACGCUUGAAUACAUUAACAUGGAAUAAUGNAAUAGGACGUUCAAUCCUAUUUUGUUGGUUUCUANGAUUGACGUGAUGAUUNAUAUGGAUAGUUGGGGGCAUUAGNAUNCAAUUGUCANAGGUGNAAUUCUGGGAUUUAUUGGAGACUAACUACUGAGAAAGCAUUNGCCAAGGAUGUUUUCAUGAAUCAAGAACGAAAGUUAGGGGAUCGAAGACGAUCANAUACCGACGAANUCUUAACCAUAAACUAUGNCGACUAAGGAUCGGAUGAUGUUAAUUUUUUAAUGACUCAUUCNGCGNCUUACGGGAAAC